CCUACGGGGGGCAGCAGUGGGGAAUAUUGGACAAUGGGGGGAACCCUGAUCCAGCCAUGCCGCGUGUGUGAAGAAGGCCCUCGGGUUGUAAAGCACUUUCAGUGAGGAAGAACGCCUGGUGGUUAAUACCCAUCAGGAAAGACAUCACUCACAGAAGAAGCACCGGCUAACUCCGUGCCAGCAGCCGCGGUAAUACGGAGGGUGCGAGCGUUAAUCGGAAUUACUGGGCGUAAAGCGCGCGUAGGUGGCUUGAUAAGCCGGUUGUGAAAGCCCCGGGCUCAACCUGGGAACGGCAUCCGGAACUGUCAAGCUAGAGUGCAGGAGAGGAAGGUAGAAUUCCCGGUGUAGCGGUGAAAUGCGUGGAGAUCGGGAGGAAUACCAGUGGCGAAGGCGGCCUUCUGGACUGACACUGACACUGAGGUGCGAAAGCGUGGGUAGCAAACAGGAUUAGAUACCCUAGUAGUC
rnacentral:rRNA from 1 species